GGCGCACGGGUGCGUAACACGUAUGCAACCUACCCUUUACAGGGGGAUAGCUCAGAGACAUCUGAAUUAAUACCCCAUAGUUACAUUUUGCUGCAUGGUAAGAUGUAUAAAGCUCCGGCGGUAAAGGAUGGGCAUGCGUUACAUUAGCUAGUUGGUGAGGUAAUGGCUCACCAAGGCUACGAUGUAUAGGGGUUCUGAGAGGAUGAUCCCCCACACUGGUACUGAGACACGGACCAGACUCCUACGGGAGGCAGCAGUAGGGAAUAUUGGACAAUGGACGCAAGUCUGAUCCAGCCAUGCCGCGUGCAGGAUGACAGCCCUCUGGGUUGUAAACUGCUUUUAUAUGAGAAGAAGCCCUCAGAUGCGUUUGAGGCUGACGGUAUCAUAUGAAUAAGGAUCGGCUAACUUCGUGCCAGCAGCCGCGGUAAGACGAAGGAUCCAAGCGUUGUCCGGAUUUACUGGGUUUAAAGGAUGC
rnacentral:rRNA from 1 species